UACGGAGGGUGCAAGCGUUGUCCGGAUUUAUUGGGUUUAAAGGGUGCGUAGGCGGCCCGUUAAGUCAGUGGUGAAAGCCUCCAGCUCAACUGGAGAACUGCCAUUGAUACUGCCGGGCUUGAGUACAGACGAGGUUGGCGGAAUUGAUUGUGUAGCGGUGAAAUGCAUAGAUACAAUCAAGAACUCCGAUUGCGUAGGCAGCUAACUAGGCUGUAACUGACGCUGAGGCACGAAAGCGUGGGGAGCGAACAGG
rnacentral:rRNA from 1 species